AACGUAGGACACAAGCGUUGUUCGGAUUUACUGGGCGUAAAGGGCGCGUAGGCGGCUUAACAAGUCACUUGUGAAAUCUCCGGGCUUAACUCGGAACGGCCAAGUGAAACUGUCAAGCUAGAGUGCAGAAGGGGCAAUCGGAAUUCUUGGUGUAGCGGUGAAAUGCGUAGAUAUCAGGAGGAACACCGGUGGCGAAGGCGGUUCUCUGGGCCUUACCUGACGCUGAGGAGCGAAAGCGUGGGGAGCGAAUGGG
rnacentral:rRNA from 1 species